GGUGCUAUAGUGUAGUGGUUAUCACUCGGGAUUUUGAUGGUAUAUUGCCUUCCCGAAACCCAGGUUCGAACCCUGGUAGCACCU